UACGAAGGGGGCGAGCGUUUGUUCGGAUUUACUGGGCGUAAAGCGCACGUAGGCGGCUUUGUAAGUUAGAGGUGAAAGCCCAGGGGCUCAACCCCUGGAAUUGCCUUUAAGACUGCAUCGCUUAAGACUGGUGAGAGGUAGUGGAAUUCCGAGUGUAGAGGUGAAAUUCGUAGAUAUUCGGAAGAACACCAGUGGCGAAGGCGGCUCACUGGACUGGUAUUGACGCUGAGGUGGCGAAAGCGUGGGGAGCAAACAGG
rnacentral:rRNA from 1 species